CGGGCUCUAAGCUCGACCCCACCAUCGCCACCUGCAUGACCGGCAGUGCUCUAUGUGAUUGAAAAGUAUACCGGCUUAGGAUCAA